GACGUAGGGCGCGAGCGUUGUCCGGAUUUAUUGGGCGUAAAGAGCUCGUAGGCGGCUCGUUGCGUCGGCUGUGAAAACCCGCAGCUCAACUGUGGGCUUGCAGCUGAUACGGGCGGGCUGGAGUUCGGUAGGGGAGACUGGAAUUCCUGGUGUAGCGGUGAAAUGCGCAGAUAUCAGGAGGAACACCGGCGGCGAAGGCGGGUCUCUGGGCCGAUACUGACGCUGAGGAGCGAAAGCGUGGGGAGCGAACAGG
rnacentral:rRNA from 1 species